rnacentral:lncRNA from 1 species
CAAACAGAAACACUUACAUAUAAGAUUCCAUUUCCAUUAUUCUAUCUUCUGGGUCACAUGCAUUCUACUAUAUCAUUUAUGGAUUCUUCAUUUCUGAUUGGGUCUUUAUCUAUAUUUUCUAGUUCCUUAUAAAUGUUCAUUGUUUAUAUCAACACUUUCCUCUAAUUGAAUUAAUAUUUUCAUUACCAAGACACUGAAUUCCUUACCUUGUAAAUUGUUUAUUUUUCUAUUUUUUUUCAAGGGUUUUCUCUUGCUCCUUCAAGUGAGAGUAGUUUCUCUGCCUUUUAAUUUUGCUUAACUUUCUUUACCACUGUGAAUUUAGGUGAAACCGUUGCCCACUGCAGUCUUGAUAAUACACACCCUCACUCAAUUUCUUUCUUACAUUCAGCCUAUGGGUCUACAUUGGUCUAGAAUUCUCAACCUUGAGAUAUGGGUGCUUGCUAUAAUUACUUAGGAACAAAAGCUCAUUGUCUUGCUCCAGUAUUUCUGACUUUAUCAACUGCACGGCAAAAAUCAUCUUCUCAGUUGCAAGCAUCACACUACUGAAAGUCAUCACUAAUUUCUCAUUCCUUAUCCAACAUAUAUAUUCAGUUAUACAUUCUUAACACUUCCAUCUCCUUGGCCUCUUCCACUAUUCAGACCAUGAUCACUGACAACUGUAAGUGGAGACUACCUGUUCCUCUUUCUUGUCCUUGCCGACCUUGAUCUGCUCCAUUAUCCACAGUGCAGCCUAAGUGACUUUUAGAAGAGAAUUUUAAUCAUAUCAUUCUCUUGGAAGCUACAAUGUCUCCCUCUGAUCUCAAAUUANNNNNCAAACUUCUUAAAUCAUUUUAAUAUCCUUCAAUACUUUUCUUGCCGCCUUUGUCAUUCCUAGGGUUUUAGUAUGCUACAUUCCAGUCGUAGGAAUAUCUUUUAUGUCCUAGGCCACAGCAUGUUUUCCCAUCUGUUUCCCUGCGACUAGUGACUUUCUUUACUCCGUCCUCACUUGGCUAAGUCUACUUACCCUUCAAGUUCCAGGAUAAAGAUCAGUACUUCCAAGAAACCUUCCCCAUUCCCACAAUCCAGAUUAAGUGCCUGCACAAGGGCUCUAAUGGCAGUCAAAAAAUAAACAUAAUAAUCAUCUCACUAUGUUGCAAUUUUCUGCCUAUUCCUUAUACCCAACCAUAUAAGAGAAACCAAGAGAAACGUAGUAAUUUUACUAUUCUGCAGUUAUAUUCUCACUGUCUAGCACAUGGCUGAUAUAACAUAAAGACUUUGUGAAUAUGUAAUGAAUGAAAUAUGUUAGUGCACUAUGCCAGGAAUAUUAUAGUGAAGAGAUUAAAGUUGAUUGUUGAAUAACACCAGUUUGAACCAGAAAGGUCCACUUCUAUACAGAUUUUUUUUCAACAAAAACCUUGGAAAUAUUUUGCCAUUUAGAUAAUUUGAAGAUAAACCAUAUAACCUAAGAAUAUCAAAAUAUUUAAGAAAAAGUUUUGUGAUUAAUGCAUAAUAGAUAUUAAUCUGUGGUUUCAUAGGCAUAAGGUGAGUGAUAUUUAAUAUGAAAUAAAUAAGCUGUUAGUUUUGUGACUUUUCUAAGAAUUACAUUAUCAUAAAGUAUGCUGUUCUCUCUCAUAUUGUAAAAACUGCCUAUCCAGUAUAUUUUUUCAGGUGUUUUAUUUUUUUUUAUGUAACGAUGAUUGCAAUAUUGUAUUAUGAAUAUAAUUAUAAUACUCUAUGAGGAAACAGUGGAAACAGUGUCAGACUUUAUAUUUUGGGGCUCCAAA